UACGGAAGGCAGCAGUGGGGAAUAUUGCACAAUGGGCGCAAGCCUGAUGCAGCCAUGCCGCGUGUAUGAAGAAGGCCUUCGGGUUGUAAAGUACUUUCAGCGGGGAGGAAGGCGAUGUGGUUAAUAACCGCGUCGAUUGACGUUACCCGCAGAAGAAGCACCGGCUAACUCCGUGCCAGCAGCCGCGGUAAUACGGAGGGUGCAAGCGUUAAUCGGAAUUACUGGGCGUAAAGCGCACGCAGGCGGUCUGUUAAGUCAGAUGUGAAAUCCCCGGGCUUAACCUGGGAACUGCAUUUUGAAACUGGCAGGCUUGAGUCUCGUAGAGGGGGUAGAAUUCCAGGUGUAGCGGUGAAAUGCGUAGAGAUCUGGAGGGAAUACCGGUGGCGAAGGCGGCCCCUGGGACGAAGACUGACGCUCAGGGUGCGAAAGCGUGGGGAGCAAACAGGGAUUAGAUACC
rnacentral:rRNA from 1 species